UUUUAUUUAUAAGGCCAGUGAGUACACUGGACGUUACUUUCCUUUUCUUUUUUCUUGAGAUGGAGUCUCAUGUCGUUCAGGUUUGCUCAUUUGGGGCUUGAGACACAGUCUUACAAUGUAGACCAUGCUGGUCUGGAACUCACUGUGUAACACAGGUGACCUUCAACUCUUUGGCAGUGUUCCCUACUCAGCAGCCUAAGCCCUAGGAUUGCAGGUUUGUGCUCGCAUUUCUGGCCAAAACUAAUAAAAAGAAGAAACUAAAUGGCUGAGAUAGCUGAAACACAAUGAUCAAGAAUGAAUUUAGAAUUUAUUUCUAGAUCCUUUACUCAUUUGUUAGGUUACAGACCUGUUACAUCGUAGUACAGUCGUGUCCCAUGGAGCUGAAUGACAUGUGCUUGAGAGAGCCAGGAAACCCUAAGCUGAACUUUAAGAGUGGAGAAAUUAUGUCUUCAUUACUACUGAAGCAGAGAUGGAGUAGCACUUAGGACAAACUAUUAAGAGAGUGAAGCUCACUAGUGAGACUCCAAAGACUGCUUGCUAACAGGGACAGAUGAACUUUAAAGGAUGAUGUAAUAGGAAGGUCUAAAAAUAGACAGUUUCUCACUUGCCAGUCAUAGUCAUUCUAAAAGGUGGUGUCCAACAGCAGCAGUGAAAAGAUAAGCUGGUUCAUGUGCUCCAGUGUCUGUUAAGUUUAAGGAAGGCUCAACUAGAAAAGUAAUAUUUCCCGUAGUAGCAUAUUAGUUGAGCAUAAGAUUUAUUUGAGGAUUCUUUGAUAAAAUUACACUGGAAGUUAAAUAUUGACAUUGUAAAACGACAGUAGAAAGGUAGUUAAAGUUUUUUAAAGGUGGCUAGCUCUCUGUACUACUUAAGGUUUACAUUAUUUCCUCAUGAUAAGCCAACAAAAACCAUAAUAUCCUUUCAGAAAUUUAACAGACUUUUCAAAUAUCAUCCAUAGAUUGAAUUUAGUUUUUGAAACUAUCAUGUGACAUCUAUUUGGUUACAGAUACUUAAAUGAAAGAAACAACUGCUUUUAGUCUUGAGGUUUUUAUUAUUAGCAUUACUGCAGUUGUUAACUGUGGUUGGUACACAUGUGAGCCAAAUUAAAGUACAGUGAGGCAUUAAGUAUGAUGUAUUCUUAAGCUAUCUUCCUUUCCUCUCUCCCUCCUUCCUUCCCUCCUUCUCUCUCUCCUCUCUUCCCUCCCUCUCCUCCCAGCCUCCUUACCUACCGUCCCUCACUCUUUCCUUCCCUCCUCUCUCUUUACCUCCUCUUACUCCUUCCUCCCCUCCCCUCCCUUCUUCUUUCCUUCCCGUUCCUCCUUUCUUGACCGAGCCUUAUUAUGUUGUCCUGGCUAGCAUAUGCUCACUCUGUAGACCAGAGUGGCUAUUAUAGAUACUUGCCUGCUCUGCCUCUCAAGGGCUGGAAUUAAGGUGUGUCCCUGUUCCCUGCACUUAUUUUCAUAUUUUUUCAGUAGCAGAAGCAUGCUUAUGAAGAUUCCUUGUAUUGAGGUAUACUUGACGCCUACGAGCCCAUAAUUAACAGUCGAUGGGUAAAAUGCUACUGUCUUUCAAAUUUUAAUAGAAGAAGUCAUCUAAUACUGCUUUUAAAAACAUAUUAAGUCCUGUAAUUUCUUAUUCUAGUAUAUUGGGUUGAUGGGUUGAUAGUUUUUACAUAGUGAAUUGAAUAAAUAACAUUAUUUUCAGUGAUCAAAUUUUAUUUGUAUAUAUUUUGAAAUAGUGUGGUGUCCUUCCUCCCACACAAACUAUUUUUGGAGGGUAAUGUUUGAAGAUCUCUUGUAGCCCAGGCUACCUUUGAAUUUGUUUUGUAACUAAACCUGGCUUCCAACUUUUUGAUCCUUCUGCCUCCACUUUCAGAGUGCUGGUAUUACAGAUGUGCACCAUUGUCUAGUUUAUGUGGUGCUAGAGUUUGAAGCCAGAGCUUUGUGCAUAAUAAAUAAAGGUAGUUUUGCUUUCUUAGUGGUCUUCGUGCCUGUUUGCCACAGGAUAGUAAUGCUUGAUGAAGUGUUUUAAGUGGGUGAUGUUGAUUUUGACUCACUUAAGGUUCACUAAAUGUGUGGCAAAUACUGAGAUUCUACUGUUUGUAUUUACAGUUUGAAAUCUAGAGGCAUUGUAAAAUCAUGUAGAGAAGAUACAGUUCAGGGUCAUUUAUUUCACUUUGGCAAAGAUGGGAUGCCUCCAUACUAACUGCUCUAUGAAGUUGACUUUCAUAGGCACGGCCCACUAGUACGUGCUGAGAUAGCUUUAUCUACUUUUUAUCUAGGACUCUCUUCAUUACUGUCAUGUGAAAAUAAAAACCUCCUCCAGAUAAACCCCAUCUCUGUACUAUGUAACUAGCAAAUACUGCCAGCUGCCUGUAUUUGUUUCUCUCCACUAUUCCAUAAACUCCUGAUUAUCUCCCCAUACCCAUGUAUACUACACUGAGGUGGAGGUUUUGUUUGUUAACUCUUCUGUAGUCCUAAGAAAUUGGUCAGUUAUUCCAUAUUGUGAAUAUAUUAUAUGUAGAAUAAACGGGAUUUCUGUUUCUUCUGAGGUUUGCAAAGCUUUUGGGAGGUAGACCAUAAAGAUUUUCCUUUUCCUAGUUGGACUGGGGUUGGGGGUAUGGACUGGUGUUUGUGUUUUCUCAGUGAGGAAGAUAGGCAGAGAAUUGAAUUAAUCCAGUAUUCUUUCUGAAUAGGCAAAAUAAAUCAUUAGAUGUGGGAAGUCCUGUGAAUUUCUGCUUACCUUGGCUUGGUGGUUAAAAAAUAACAGUGACCUGGGCACAGGGAAGAAGCCUUCACUGGCUCUGCUCGUUCUGCUUGGAACUCAAAAGUGGAGAGGUGGGCUUGGCUUCACCUCUGAACCCAAAUAUAUUUAUAUCAUCAUAUCAGCACAUCUACUAGAUACAGUGUUCACAUUGUGCAACAUAAAUUCCAGAAAUGCAGUUAACAGAGAAGAAUGCCUCUGACUUAUUAAAAUAAAACAGUCUGUGUAUAGUUUCUUGUGGGUUUUGUUGUAUAUUUCAGGCUGGUUUGGAACCUGCAAUAAUCCUACUUCUGCCCAACAAGUGUUUAUGGUCUUUUUUUUUUUUAAGGUGUAAAAAUUUUUGGACAUAAAUAUAAAAAAUUCUAAUAUUUCCAACUCCCCAAAGACCUAACGUUGAUUUUUCUGAGAAGAAAUGGGACUUUGUUGAAGAUAAAUUAGAUGGUUUUCCAAGAGUACGUGAGACAUAAGGUGAAAUCUCCUGAUGAGAUGAAAGGACCCAGUGGCUAGAAGAGAAGAAUCAUGUAAGUGCUUUAGGAAGGCUAGUGAAACCCCACAACGCAGCACUCCAAGACAGAACUACAAACAACCCAGGGCGGGUUGGUGGUGCAUCAGCUCCUUAGCUACUUGUGAUCUUUCUCUAGGUUAAGUGAUAACUAAGGUGACAUAAUUUUUAUCCAAAUUGGCUCACUUGUAAGUGAAAAGGUAGCACGGGGACAGGUAGAAACCAGGACACUUGGUUAUUCACACUUUAGAACAUGGUUUUCUCUAAAUUGACCCAAUUUCAACGAACAUAUUCAGGUGCUUUUUAAAAUUUUACAGUAAUCUGCUCUGCAGAGAUUCUCAAACUUGGCUUCCCUUUUAUUGUUCUUGGUGGGAUUUGGAGAAUUCUUUUAAUUUAUUUUUUCUAUAUGAUACACCCUGGACUUACAGAUUUAGUGGAGGUAAGGAUAGUACUCAUAAUAUAUGUUUUAAUGGGAUAUUUUUAUUGUAUAUGUUUUGAGAAUUUUAUACAAUGUAUUUGAAUCAUAUUACUGUCCUCCAACUUCCUCUCUAAUUCCUCCCAGAUUCAUUCCUACCUCUCUACCCACCCCCAACCUCAUGUCUUCUCUUUCUUUUAAAUAACCAAACGAGUCCAGUUUGUGCUGCCCAUAAACUUCUGGGUGUGGGCAUCUCCUGGAGACUGGUCAUCAUACAAGGGGUUAAUAAUAUAUUGCCUAGGAGUUGGUUUUUGUAAAUUCUUGUUUUUAUAUGGGACUGCUUUUUAGAAUACUGAGAAUUAGUAUCUCUGUCAUCAGGUAGAGUAAUUUGGUGAGAUUUUAGAAUAUAAACUUUGUAAUUUGGCAUAUAAAAUUUGAAUUUCAUACUGCUUGAUACUUAAAAUGUUUUCUUUCCUAUAGGACAGAUUGUAAUUCUGAAACUUCAAAUCUUCAAAGAAGAGAGGAAAACACCUUUUGUUUUAUCAUGGAUUUAUUAUUAUCCUCUGAUCUUAUGUUAAUGCUUUCAUUUUGGUUUUCUUAUUCCAUUUAAAUAAAUAUUUUUAAAUUCUU
rnacentral:lncRNA from 1 species